GACGAACGCUGGCGGCGUGCUUAACACAUGCAAGUCGAACGGUAAGGCCCUUCGGGGUACACGAGUGGCGAACGGGUGAGUAACACGUGGGUGAUCUGCCCUGCACUUCGGGAUAAGCCUGGGAAACUGGGUCUAAUACCGGAUAGGACCAUGGACUUCACGGUUUGUGGUGGAAAGCUUUUGCGGUGUGGGAUGGGCCCGCGGCCUAUCAGCUUGUUGGUGGGGUAAUGGCCUACCAAGGCGACGACGGGUAGCCGGCCUGAGAGGGUGUCCGGCCACACUGGGACUGAGAUACGGCCCAGACUCCUACGGGAGGCAGCAGUGGGGAAUAUUGCACAAUGGGCGCAAGCCUGAUGCAGCGACGCCGCGUGAGGGGAUGACGGCCUUCGGGUUGUAAACCUCUUUCAAUAGGACGAAGCGCAAGUGACGGUACCGUAUAGAAGAAGCACCGGCCAACUACGUGCCAGCAGCCGCGGU
rnacentral:rRNA from 1 species